GAUGAACGCUGGCGGCGUGCCUAACACAUGCAAGUCGAACGGAGCUGCUUUGAUGAAGUUUUCGGAUGGAUUUAAAGCAGCUUAGUGGCGGACGGGUGAGUAACGCGUGGGUAACCUGCCUCACACUGGGGGAUAACAGUUAGAAAUAGCUGCUAAUACCGCAUAAGCGCACAGUUCCGCAUGGAACAGUGUGAAAAACUCCGGUGGUGUGAGAUGGACCCGCGUCUGAUUAGCCAGUUGGCGGGGUAACGGCCCACCAAAGCGACGAUCAGUAGCCGGCCUGAGAGGGUGAACGGCCACAUUGGGACUGAGACACGGCCCAAACUCCUACGGGAGGCAGCAGUGGGGAAUAUUGCACAAUGGGGGAAACCCUGAUGCAGCGACGCCGCGUGAGUGAAGAAGUAUUUCGGUAUGUAAAGCUCUAUCAGCAGGGAAGAAAGUGACGGUACCUGAAUAAGAAGCCCCGGCUAACUACGUGCCAGCAGCCGCGGUAAUACGUAGGGGGCAAGCGUUAUCCGGAUUUACUGGGUGUAAAGGGAGCGUAGACGGCAAGGCAAGUCUGAAGUGAAAGCCCGGUGCUUAACGCCGGGACUGCUUUGGAAACUGUUUGGCUGGAGUGCCGGAGAGGUAAGCGGAAUUCCUAGUGUAGCGGUGAAAUGCGUAGAUAUUAGGAAGAACACCAGUGGCGAAGGCGGCUUACUGGACGGUAACUGACGUUGAGGCUC
rnacentral:rRNA from 1 species